GCCAGGCAUAGUGAUGUGUACCUGUAAUCCCAGCUACACGGGAGGCUGAGUCAGGAGAAUCACUUGCAUCUGGGCGGUCUAGUCUGCAGUGAGCUGACAUCACACUACUGCACUCCAGCCUGGGUGACAGAGUGAGAUUCUGUCUCAA
ensembl:misc_RNA Metazoa_SRP Metazoan signal recognition particle RNA